ensembl:lncRNA
AUUUCUUUAAGUGAUGAGCAUUCAUAGGACUUUUAAAUAUAGACUUUAUUCUCAAAAUACUUUUGUUGUACAAAAGAAGGUACUUCUACAAAGAAACAUAAAUCCUCUUCAUCUUUGAGUGACAAGUCUUUGUCAUAUUGAUGACCUAAUUUCAUCCUCUUUUGAAAGCGUGGGGCAACAGAGGUGCUGACCAACUGGCUGACCUGAUCAUUGAUGGGGACAAUGCCUGGGGAGAGAAGGAUCCAUCCCUUCCAAAUUGCAAGUCUGCAUACUCAUACAGAGAGUAUGAGAAGGCUGUGGAAGAACCAAGAGCCACUGCAGAAUGUGUAU